rnacentral:rRNA from 1 species
GGGCCCGCACAAGCGGUGGAGUAUGUGGUUUAAUUCGAUGCAACGCGAAGAACCUUACCAGGGCUUAAAUGUAAGUUGCAUUAGUUAGAGAUAGCUAUUUCUUCGGACUACUUACAAGGUGCUGCAUGGUUGUCGUCAGCUCGUGCCGUGAGGUGUCAGGUUAAGUCCUAUAACGAGCGCAACCCCUGUUGUUAGUUGCCAUCGAGUCAUGUCGGGAACUCUAACAAGACUGCCGGUGCAAACCGUGAGGAAGGUGGGGAUGACGUCAAAUCAUCACGGCCCUUACGUCCUGGGCUACACACGUGCUACAAUGGCCGGUACAGAGAGCAGCCACUACGCGAGUAGGCGCGAAUCUUCAAAGCCGGUCUCAGUUCGGAUCGGAGUCUGCAACUCGACUCCGUGAAGCUGGAAUCGCUAG